CAGCGCUAGCGCCCCGUCCUUCCUCUGGAAAUUUAAAUCUAGUGGACAACGAGUGCAGCCCCUGCUGCUCUUUUUCUCUUUGUCGCCGGGGCGUGAGGCGAGAGGCGCAGCCUCCUAAAGGACGUAUUACCUCUGACCGUCCAUCUCUUGAGUCUUAACCCCGAGUGUUUGAAGUAGCUUUGCUCCUGGAGUACUUCUUCAUGUGUUCAAAACCUCUCCUCAUUUGCUCACUUAAAUUCAACUGCAAGGACUGCUACAUUGUGCUGUCAUUGCACGUAUUAUUUUGUUUUGCCUAGCACAGUCUGGGGGCAGCUUUGUGUCCCUUUCACAGAGGUAGAAUACCACUAAUAAAAAAGCUGUAACAUGACUUGUGGUCUCUGGGUUGCACAAGCAUUUCUGUGUUUAUUUCUGCAUUCCUACAGCACACACAGCAUCCAGAGCAGGACCCACAAACUGGGCUACAACAAACACAGUAAAUAUCCAUAACGCGACUAUAGAAGCCUACCUAUGCCCACUUCACAUUUUUAUUUAUCUACAGAAAAAUAUCAAAUAAAUGUGCCACGAGCUGCUGAUGUAGCAUGAACCACAUGAUGUAGAAUGUUUUACAGACGGCAGGUAAUUUGAUUACUUUCAUCUGAAGGCUUCUUUAUCUCCAAACCUGUUUGGGAUGAAAUUGUUGUUUCUCAUUAUUUCAGUUGGUGUAUUAUUUUGUGGCAUUUCACCUGGAAGGCUUCCUUAACAUUUUAUUACAGUAUGAAGUAUGAUGUAAGUAAUGUAACCCAUGUGGUACUAUGUUAUCUGUCUUGUGGAGGCCAGGGGGUUAAUACAGAUAUUCUGAAAUCCUUGUUAAAAUAAACUUCCAUAGCCACAAAUCUCUUACCGGUCUGGAUGGGCUGUAUCAGUCACACUUACCCUCUUUUACUUGAAACAUGAGGUGAAGUGCUGUCUUUCUCAAAAUCGUGCUUAAAACCAAUCUGAUUUUAAGAGCGGCUUUAAAAUGUGCUUCCUUUUUUUUUUUACUGUUACUAACUUACUGUUACAGCCCAUAAACAUUUGGGGUCAAGAGCUCACUUCCUUAAAAUAUGCCAAAUGGGAUUAGUCUUGAACUUCCAAGAAGUAAAUAUUAGGUGGAAACUGAUGUUUAUUUAUUUCAUAUGGAGGGCAUCAGGAUUCUUACUGGUAGCUUGUUGUUCACAAAUUUAGUCUCAUUUAAGUCACUGUGGGUUCUUAUUGCCUGUGGGUUUGUUACAGUAAAU